rnacentral:rRNA from 1 species
AAAUCCGGAAAAUCAAGGCUGAGGCGUGAUGACGAGGCACUACGGUGCUGAAGCAACAAAUGCCCUGCUUCCAGGAAAAGCCUCUAAGCAUCAGGUAACAUCAAAUCGUACCCCAAACCGACACAGGUGGUCAGGUAGAGAAUACCAAGGCGCUUGAGAGAACUCGGGUGAAGGAACUAGGCAAAAUGGUGCCGUAACUUCGGGAGAAGGCACGCUGAUAUGUAGGUGAAGUCCCUCGCGGAUGGAGCUGAAAUCAGUCGAAGAUACCAGCUGGCUGCAACUGUUUAUUAAAAACACAGCACUGUGCAAACACGAAAGUGGACGUAUACGGUGUGACGCCUGCCCGGUGC